rfam:Bombyx mori DNA, contig: Bm_scaf43_contig24299, strain: p50T/Dazao, build 2, whole genome shotgun sequence.
UUAACUCAUAUUUGUAUGGAAUGGGAUCGUUUGCGUACGUUUGCCGCUAGGGGCGCUGUUCCAACUGCAUACAAAAUUGGGUUA